rnacentral:rRNA from 2 species
GGGGAUAACACCUGGAAACAGAUGCUAAUACCGCAUAACAACUUGGACCGCAUGGUCCGAGUUUGAAAGAUGGCUUCGGCUAUCACUUUUGGAUGGUCCCGCGGCGUAUUAGCUAGAUGGUGAGGUAACGGCUCACCAUGGCAAUGAUACGUAGCCGACCUGAGAGGGUAAUCGGCCACAUUGGGACUGAGACACGGCCCAAACUCCUACGGGAGGCAGCAGUAGGGAAUCUUCCACAAUGGACGAAAGUCUGAUGGAGCAACGCCGCGUGAGUGAAGAAGGGUUUCGGCUCGUAAAACUCUGUUGUUAAAGAAGAACAUAUCUGAGAGUAACUGUUCAGGUAUUGACGGUAUUUAACCAGAAAGCCACGGCUAACUACGUGCCAGCAGCCGCGGUAAUACGUAGGUGGCAAGCGUUGUCCGGAUUUAUUGGGCGUAAAGCGAGCGCAGGCGGUUUUUUAAGUCUGAUGUGAAAGCCUUCGGCUCAACCGAAGAAGUGCAUCGGAAACUGGGAAACUUGAGUGCAGAAGAGGACAGUGGAACUCCAUGUGUAGCGGUGAAAUGCGUAGAUAUAUGGAAGAACACCAGUGGCGAAGGCGGCUGUCUGGUCUGUAACUGACGCUGAGGCUCGAAAGUAUGGGUAGCAAACAGGAUUAGAUACCCUGGUAGUCCAUACCGUAAACGAUGAAUGCUAAGUGUUGGAGGGUUUCCGCCCUUCAGUGCUGCAGCUAACGCAUUAAGCAUUCCGCCUGGGGAGUACGGCCGCAAGGCUGAAACUCAAAGGAAUUGACGGGGGCCCGCACAAGCGGUGGAGCAUGUGGUUUAAUUCGAAGCUACGCGAAGAACCUUACCAGGUCUUGACAUACUAUGCAAAUCUAAGAGAUUAGACGUUCCCUUCGGGGACAUGGAUACAGGUGGUGCAUGGUUGUCGUCAGCUCGUGUCGUGAGAUGUUGGGUUAAGUCCCGCAACGAGCGCAACCCUUAUUAUCAGUUGCCAGCAUUAAGUUGGGCACUCUGGUGAGACUGCCGGUGACAAACCGGAGGAAGGUGGGGAUGACGUCAAAUCAUCAUGCCCCUUAUGACCUGGGCUACACACGUGCUACAAUGGAUGGUACAACGAGUUGCGAACUCGCGAGAGUAAGCUAAUCUCUUAAAGCCAUUCUCAGUUCGGAUUGUAGGCUGCAACUCGCCUACAUGAAGUCGGAAUCGCUAGUAAUCGCGGAUCAGCAUGCCGCGGUGAAUACGUUCCCGGGCCUUGUACACACCGCCCGUCACACCAUGAGAGUUUGUAACACCCAAAGUCGGUGGGGUAACC